rnacentral:rRNA from 1 species
GGAUUUUUGUCGUAGCUUGCUAUGAUAAAAAUUAGUGGCAGACGGGUGAGUAAUGCAUAGGAAUCUACCUAGUAGUAUGGGAUAGCCACUAGAAAUGGUGGGUAAUACUGUAUAAUCCCUGCGGGGGAAAGAUUUAUCGCUAUUAGAUGAGCCUAUGUUAGAUUAGCUAGUUGGUAGGGUAAAGGCCUACCAAGGCAGUGAUCUAUAGCUGGUCUGAGAGGAUGAUCAGCCACACUGGAACUGAGAUACGGUCCAGACUCCUACGGGAGGCAGCAGUGGGGAAUAUUGGACAAUGGGCGCAAGCCUGAUCCAGCUAUGCCGCGUGAGUGAGGAAGGCCUUAGGGUUGUAAAACUCUUUCAGUGGGGAAGAUAAUGACGGUACCCACAGAAGAAGUCCCGGCAAACUCCGUGCCAGCC